GAUGAACGCUGGCGGCGUGCUUAACACAUGCAAGUCGAACGAAGCACUUUAUUUGAUUUCCUUCGGGACUGAUUAUUUUGUGACUGAGUGGCGGACGGGUGAGUAACGCGUGGGUAACCUGCCUUGUACAGGGGGAUAACAGUUGGAAACGGCUGCUAAUACCGCAUAAGCGCACGGCAUCGCAUGAUGCAGUGUGAAAAACUCCGGUGGUAUAAGAUGGACCCGCGUUGGAUUAGCUAGUUGGUGAGGUAACGGCCCACCAAGGCGACGAUCCAUAGCCGACCUGAGAGGGUGACCGGCCACAUUGGGACUGAGACACGGCCCAAACUCCUACGGGAGGCAGCAGUGGGGAAUAUUGCACAAUGGGCGAAAGCCUGAUGCAGCGACGCCGCGUGAGCGAAGAAGUAUUUCGGUAUGUAAAGCUCUAUCAG
rnacentral:rRNA from 1 species